rnacentral:lncRNA from 1 species
UAAUUAUUAAUCAUCUUUAAUUACAGGCACUAAACUCUCGCACGUCGCGCGGGCUUUUCUCCCUAGUAUUAUUGAUAAAAUGAAAGAUACAAACAUUAUUUGAACAUUUAGUCGUGCCAUAUUCAAGAUUAACACUAGUUAAUAAGAAACAUAGUAGUGAUCAAUCUUAUCCAAUCCAGACACCCUUCACUUAACAAGUCCCAAGUUGAGGAUGCCCCAAGAAGUAUUGGGCCAUGAUUUUUCCUUGCCUUCAUCACCAAAACUCUAGCCCAUGCAACCCAUCCUUCCAAGUCAUCCUCUUAUCCAAGGACUUCCCCACUCCAAUAUCAUUCUCAGCCCCUUCUCAGCUUCUUUUUCACCCUCCUCAAACUUCCCUUUGCUCAAGUAAAUCUGACCCAAAACCACAUGAGGCUCUCCAACAAAAGGGUUCUUCUCAAUUGCCCUUAUCAACAACUCCACAGCUCUCUGUAACCCAACCUUUUCUGCUUCACAAACAGCCUCCCAAUACAGCUCCCUCCCAAUUUUCUGCUCUUCUGCAUCCAAGACCCUUGUGCAGUUCUCAAAUACAGGUGGGAUCACUAGCUCAAGCUCUUCAUCUCUAUCAUCUGCUAAAACAAUAACCCCUCCAUUAUUUCUUCUCCUUUGCUCAAGGAUAAUCUCCUCUUCUCUCACAAUCAAGGUGUAUAGCGCACCCAUCCUCGAUAUUGAAUUCAGCCAUAAUCCCGGCUUGCCAUCACCUGGCCAUAGACCAUAGAAAUUAUUGCUGAGAAUUCUAAACGGCCAUUGGAAUUCUCAAACAAAACAUCCUGAAAACAGAACAGCUGGUCGGAAAAAUCUGCCAUUGUCAUCAGGAGAAACACAGCUACAAUCUUCGCGAAACCGGAACUUCUUCGCCUGUUUUGAUAUGCUUCACUACUACCCCAUCAGCAGGCAGAACAGAGUUGAGUUUUCGUCUCCAACUUUCGUCCUCGUUGAACAAAUCUUUUUCCUUCGCAUUCCUCAGAGAAAUCUCCGAAAACUUGAGGUGUUCGACCAAUUCUUGAUCGUUAUAAUGAAAUAGAAGAUCAUCAUGGAUCAAAGGCUGACGAGGGACGAUGCAGAACAUGUGGAUUAGCCUCUCAGCAGCUUCUCCGACGUGGGAACGAACUACAUCCCGACCGGUGGACGGAUCAAAGAUGGCAAGAUUGACAUAGGAAUUGGAAUAAGCAGAGUGAAAGAGCCCACAAAGGCAAACAGCAUCAGGGGCUUUCCACAGCUUGAGAAUGCGAUAUAUGUCAACCAAAUGUUCAAGAAAACUUCCAUGCUUGUGCCAGCACUCGCCUGCCCCAACUGAGCGCAGGACUGAGACUAGAGAAGGAAGGUUUUUGUCGACGUUUUCGAGCUCUCCACGGAGGAAAGGACGGGCGAGUUGCAGAAGGUCAUGGAGAUAUUUAUCUUCUGAUGGAGAUGGGGUAGAAGGCAUGGUGGCUGGAAUUU